CCCUAAGUGGGUGGUAAACUCCAUCUAAGGCUAAAUACUACCAUGAGACCGAUAGCGAACAAGUACCGUGAGGGAAAGUUGAAAAGCACUUUGAAGAGAGAGUUCAAUAGUACGUGAAACCGUUCAGGGGUAAACCUGAGAAACCCGAAAGGUCGAAGGGGGAGAUUCAAUCGUGUUUCGAUACGUAAACGACUAGAAUAUAUAUAUGACGUUCUCGUUCGACUAGUAUACAUUUUGUGUAUUAGAAGGUCAGGAUGCAUAUUAUGUUCGUCGAACGGUCGAACGCGUGCACUUCUCCCCUUGUAGGACGUCGUGACCCGUUGGGUGUGGGUCUAAGAGACUGAUAGGGUAGUCCCAUCAAUCAUAAUCGUGAGGUUAUGUGUUGGUGGAACCUAUUGUUUUCUGGCCCACUCGCUCGACGGUAUACUUUGAUAAUGGUAUUGGGCCGCAAUUUUUUUUUGCGUCUGACAUGUAGCGAGCGCGCACGGUUUAACUCAUGUACCGGACCUAGUGCCGGUACUGGGCCCGUUGCCGCUGUCUCAGCUACAUUGUUCUUGGACAGUGCUCUAUUAUACCAGUCUACGAUGCCGUAGCUUUGGGUACUUUCAGGA
rnacentral:rRNA from 1 species